UAGUCCUUUUUGAAUGAACGAAAAGGAAUAGCCAUUUGGAAGCGUUUCCAGCAGUCAUUUAGGACAUUCAAAGAAGACUCAAGUGCCAGUCUUGUUUCCAAGUCUUUGUGAUUCUUGGACCCACACAUGUGCUACAAGAGUUAUGCUUCAUCGUUUCUUAAUCAUAGCAAUUUCGUCGACCAGGUCAAUGAGGGACCUUGGUGGAAAAAGUCUGAGGUGGUGAUACUUCCACCAGUUGUUUGAACUUUGGAGGUUUGAACAUUCAAAGAAGACUCAAGUGCCAGACUUGUUUCCAAGUCUUUGUGAUUCUUGAACCCAUACAAGUCUUUGUGAAUCUAAUAAGCUAGUCCUUUUUAAAUGAACAAAAAGGACAAGCCAUUUGGAAGCUUUUCCAGGAGUCGUUUAGAACAUUCAAAGAAGACUCGAGUGCCAGGCUUGUUUCCAAGUCAUUGUGAUUCUUGGACCCACACAUGUGCUACAAGAGUCAUGCUUCAUCGUUUCUUAAUCAAAGCAAUUUGUCGAUCAAGUCAAUGAGGGACCUAGGUAGAAAAGGACAGAUGUUGGUUUCUGGCCACUGUGGAAUUACCCAAAUGAAGGAUGCUUGGAACUUGGAAGCUCCAACGAAUAGGCCAGGAAGCUCAUCCAGAAGUUGUUUAGAAUAAUCAAGGUUCAGAACAAUUUCUUUUUUUAUCAAGGUUCAGAACAUUUGAAAGCUAGUAUUCUUUCCAAUAUUAUCUUAUUCAAAGUUCAGAAAUUCUGUCUGGAAAUUUCCUACCUUGUUUAACUUCAGCAAUUACAUAAUGUGACUCUCUUUGUCUUUUCCUCUCAAGGUGAUGACUACUAAAACGUACACUAGGGUUUUGACUCGAGGACUUGUUGAAUUUUCCAUUCCAAAGGUGCCUUUCUUCAUAUUCUUUUGGCCUACAUUAGAUUUUAAUACUGCGGCAACAAGUUUAUGUCAGGAUAUAUGUUAAGUACACACUGGCUUCUAUUCUGACAUGAUAAAUCGACUGUGUCCAACAAUUUCUCUCUUCAAGAACUAUUUCAUUGUGAAAGAAGAAAAACUAUAUUGGACUGAAGCAAAAGAAGAUUUUCAAGCCACAUCUCUUCCAAGAACUUGGCAUUGAGAUAGGUGCACUCCGUUUGCUACAUAUCUACAUCCAUUUCAG
rnacentral:lncRNA from 1 species